rnacentral:rRNA from 1 species
UGGGGAAUUUUGGACAAUGGGCGCAAGCCUGAUCCAGCCAUGCCGCGUGCGGGAAGAAGGCCUUCGGGUUGUAAACCGCUUUUGUCAGGGAAGAAAUCCUUUGAGUUAAUACCUCGGGGGGAUGACGGUACCUGAAGAAUAAGCACCGGCUAACUACGUGCCAGCAGCCGCGGUAAUACGUAGGGUGCGAGCGUUAAUCGGAAUUACUGGGCGUAAAGCGUGCGCAGGCGGUCUUGCAAGACAGGUGUGAAAUCCCCGGGCUUAACCUGGGAACUGCACUUGUGACUGCAAGGCUGGAGUACGGCAGAGGGGGAUGGAAUUCCGCGUGUAGCAGUGAAAUGCGUAGAUAUGCGGAGGAACACCGAUGGCGAAGGCAAUCCCCUGGGCCUGUACUGACGCUCAUGCACGAAAGCGUGGGGAGCAAACAGGAUUAGAUACCCUGGUAGUCCACGCCCUAAACGAUGUCAACUGGUUGUUGGACGGCUUGCUGUUCAGUAACGAAGCUAACGCGUGAAGUUGACCGCCUGGGGAGUACGGCCGCAAGGUUG